UACGGAGGGUGCAAGCGUUAAUCGGAAUUACUGGGCGUAAAGCGCACGUAGGUGGUUUGCUAAGCCAGCUGUGAAAUCCCCGGGCUCAACCUGGGCACUGCAGUUGGAACUGGCAAGCUAGAGUAGGGUAGAGGGGUGUGGAAUUCCAGGUGUGGCGGUGAAAUGCGUAGAUAUCUGGAGGAACAUCAGUGGCGAAGGCGACACCCUGGACUCAUACUGACACUGAGGUGCGAAAGCGUGGGGAGCAAACAGG
rnacentral:rRNA from 1 species